AUUGAACGCUGGCGGAAUGCUUUACACAUGCAAGUCGAACGGCAGCACGGACUUCGGUCUGGUGGCGAGUGGCGAACGGGUGAGUAAUGUAUCGGAACGUGCCCAGUCGUGGGGGAUAACGUAGUGAAAAUUACGCUAAUACCGCAUACGAUCUAUGGAUGAAAGCGGGGGAUCGCAAGACCUCGCGCGAUUGGAGCGGCCGAUAUCAGAUUAGGUAGUUGGUGGGGUAAAGGCCCACCAAGCCAACGAUCUGUAGCUGGUCUGAGAGGACGACCAGCAACACUGGGACUGAGAGACGGUCCAGACUCCUACGGGCGGCAGCAGUGGGAAAUUUUGGACAAUGGGCGAAAGCCUGAUCCAGCCAUUCCGCGUGCAGGAUGAAGGCCCUCGGGUUGUAAACUGCUUUUGUACAGAACGAAAAGGUUUCUACUAAUACUAGGAGCUCAUGACGGUACUGUAAGAAUAAGCACCGGCUAACUACGUGCCAGCAGCCGCAGUAA
rnacentral:rRNA from 1 species